GUCUAAGGCCGUAUCAGCCUGAAGGCGCCCGAUCUCGUCUGAUCUCGGAAGCUAAGCAGGGUCGGGCCUGGUUAGGAUCUUGGAUGGGAGACCACCUGGGAAUCCCGGGUGUUCGAGGCU
rnacentral:rRNA from 1 species